GGCGGUUCUCAGAUGACGCACCCCAGAAUCAGGCUCCUGCCUCUCUGGCUCUGGGUGUGUCACACAAGAACCACA
rfam:Myotis lucifugus cont2.29441, whole genome shotgun sequence.